UAGUUACAUGUUAGGUGGCGUCCCAAUGUUAGGUUACUAAACCACACCUGAUCCCAUUUUUGUGUUCCGGGCAUGACAAUGGUUGCUUCCGGCGGGAUGGUGCGAGCAUAGAUAAGCCUGAAUGUUGUCCGAAGAGGAAUAAAAUUUGGUGACUGGUUUUCUUUCUGUGUUUUCGGAGUUACAAUUUGUUUUAAUGCCGAGAAAAUGUGAGAACUGCAACGGGGAAGCGAGGGUUUAACAAAUCCUUUAAACGGAACAAGCAGCUAGUCCAAUCUCUGAAGCUCUUCGGUCAAUUUCCGCAGAGUUCUAUACUAUGCGUCGCAGUUUUUUGCCUUUUUUGUUCUAAUCUGUUUUUGGGGCCAGUUUCUCUAUUCAUGGAGCUUCUUAAUGUCCGAAUCCCCUCUAGCCCUCAAAUUUUCUCGAAUGUUUCUCUUCCCGCUCCCAGAUUUUCCAUAGCAGCUUCGAACAAAGAAAACCCGGUCUCGUUUAGCGUACACACCUCCCAAUUCGCUCUCAAACGCUCAUUUUGCACCUUUUUACCGCUCUCUAGACGCCGGUGUUUCCGCGUCUCGGCCCUGUUCGGCCGACCCUCGACUCGCCGAAACUCGCUGAGCAAAAAACUGGCUGAAAAUGUUCAGUUGCGUGAGAGUCCUGUUCCUAUCGAUGCACAAACACCCAGUCGUAGUUUUGAUGGCAUUGAAGAUUUCCAAUCCAAUUCGUAUGAUGAUAGCGUGAAAGACAGUCUUGUUAAUUCUGGGGUUGAUGAUAGUGCAGGUGAUCCCAGUACCGUACAAGAAUCAAAAUCAAAACUUUCGAGUGUUAAUGCUUGGUUUGAUAAAUUGGAUAAUUGGGUUAACCAGUAUAAGAAAGAUGUCGAGUUAUGGGGUGUAGGGACUGGCCCUAUUUUUACGGUUUUUCAAGAUUCGGAGGGUAACAAUGAAAGGGUUUCCAUUAAUGAGGAUGAAAUCUCGAGAAGGAGUGGGGCUUCUGCGGACUUGGCAGAUUUGAAUUUCAAAAUUUCACAGGCAAAAUCUCUAGCUAAGGAGACACUGAUUGGGAACUAUGCGUUUCCAAAGAAUAGUUCUAUAGUUAAGUUCAUAGUUUCUGGUGAGAAACCAGCGUUUCUCAAUGGAAUUAGGAGUGUUGCUUUUCGACCUAAUUUGUUUCCAAAGCUCUCGCGCAUUGGGGUUCUGUUGUUGUGUGGCUCUCUCCUAUUUUGGGCUGCAAAAAGAGUAUUGUCGGUUGAGGAAGAUGGGGUAGAGGUGACCGGGUUGGAGAAAGAAAUGUUGAGGAGAAAGAUAAAGGCAAGAAAGGAGAGGGAAAUGUUGGAGAAGGGUAGUGUGGAAGUUGUCCAAGAAUCUAUGGAGCUGGCAUCGUCAACCAGGAGGCCUCAGCUUGAUAAGGCAGAACUUAUGAAUAGCAUUUCAAAAACCAAGAUAUCAGAAGAUAAAUUGGCAUUAAAAGAUUCUUUUAUUUAUGAGACUAUAAAAUCUGUAGAGUUACAGAGUAAAAUUCAGGAAAUUCGAGAAAUGGCCAGGUGUGCUCGGGAAAUUCAGGCUGUAAAUCCUUCCAUAGUUGAUGCAAAUGAGAAAGAAAAUCACACUGCAAAUGAUGUAAUUCCCAUUGAAAUUGAAGGCAUCAAGCAGACUGGAGAAAAGGGUAUCGAAAUUCCAAUUAAUAUUUCAAUUAGAGAUUCAAAGGAAACAGGGGGUUCUAAUGGAAUUAUGAAGCCUAAACUUUCAGAAGAUCCAAAAUCUGAUGUUAUUGGAUUGUUCAUUGAAUCAGUUGACAAUGUAGAUGUGCGAAUGCCUAGCCUAGAAAUUCUGCAUGUGAUGAAAACCACUUCCCAUGAUCUAAAAGAUGGCAAGACUUCUUUAUGCACGUUGGAUUCAAUGAAAAAAGCUAAUCAGCCCUCUAAUACUAAGAAUGGUCAAUUGUGUCUGUCAGAGAAAAGUUAUGUCAGAACAAAACCAAGGAUCAUACGGACAGUUAAGGAAGCUAGGGAGUACUUAUCUGAAAAACAGGACAAAGGAGAGCAUAACCAAGAACUCCGAGGUACAAAUCUGCAUGAAGGUGGUGCUGAUUUAAGACUCCCUAGCCAUGGAGAAUUGAGUAGCAGCACCACUGCUGCAAAUGCUUAUGAACAUUCCAAUCUGGAUAAAAGCGGAUCUGUUUCAACCCAGAUGAAUAAUUUGGAAGACGCAGAGGAAGGAUAUCAUGUAGGUGCAGUUAAAACUUCCACUUGUGAAGUUAAUGACAGUGAUACAAAAGUAGGACUGUCUGUAAAUAAGGAGAACUGGAUGGAGAAAAAUUUUCAAGAAUUUGAGCCCAUGGUGCAGAAGAUAGGAACUGGCUUUAGAGAUAAUUACAUGGCUGCAAAAGGGAGAGUGAACGAAGAGUUAAAUGGAAGUUCUGAUCUAACACAACUUGGCUCUGAUGAAGAUGAUGGCGAACUCAAGUGGAUGGAGGAUGAUGAUCUUAGAAAGAUUGUUUUUCAAGUCAGAGAAAAUGAGUUGGCGGGAAGAGAUCCCUUUUAUUCUAUGGAUGCUCAAGACAAGCUUGCCUUUUUCAAAGGCCUUGAGAAGAAGGUUGAGAAAGAGAAUGAAAAACUGAUGAAAGUGCAUGAAUGGAUCCAUUCAAACAUUGAAAAUGUAGAUUAUGGUGCAGAUGGUAUCAGCUUGUAUGAUCCACUGGAAAAAAUCAUACCUCGCUGGAAAGGUCCUCCUAUUGACAAAGAUCCUCAGUUCCUCAAUGACUUUAUGGAACAGAGAAAGGCAUUUGCUGGUCAUCUUGCCCGAAUAUCAUACCCUAUGAAGAAGGAUGAGCAAAAUUCCUUCCAAAAAUCAGAAGAAUCUCCAUCCAAUGAAAAUGUUGCUACUUCCCCAGUUGCCUAUAAUCCAGAGCUGAAUUUUCAUGGUGGGAUUUCAAAAAAUUCAAAGACAAUUAUAGAAAGCAGCGACGGUUCUGUUAAAGCUGGCAAAAAAUCAGGAAAGGAGUAUUGGCAACACACAAAGAAAUGGUCCCGUGGAUUUUUGGAAGUUUAUAAUGCAGAGUCAGACCCAGAAGUUAAAUCCAUCAUGAAGGAUAUGGGAAAGGAUUUAGAUCGAUGGAUCACUGAAAAAGAAAUAGAGGAAGCCGCUGAUCUGAUGACCAAAUUACCCAAGCGAAAUAAAGAAUUCAUAGAAAAAAGAAUCAACAAGCUCAAGAGAGAAAUGGAACUGUUUGGACCACAAGCUGUGGUGAGCAAGUACCGUGAAUAUGCUGAAGAGAAGGAAGAAGACUACCUGUGGUGGUUAGAUCUUCCCCACAUACUGUGUAUUGAACUAUACAGAAUUGAAAAUGGGGAGCAGAAAAUAGGAUUUUAUUCGUUGGAAAUGGCUGCAGAUCUGGAAUUGAACCCAAAACAGUAUCAUGUGAUUGCUUUUGAGGAUCCUGGUGAUUGCAAGAAUUUUAGUUAUAUCAUACAGGCUCAUUUGGAGAUGCUUGGAAAUGGCCUUGCUUUUGUUAUUGCGCGACCACCCAAGGACGCUCUUCGGGAAGCCAAAGCAAAUGGUUUCAAUGUAACUGUCAUUAGAAAAGGGGAGCUUCAGCUCAAUGUGGACCAGACUCUGGAAGAGGUAGAGGAACAAAUCACUGAGAUUGGAAGCAAAAUAUACCAUGAUAAGAUCAUGCGUGAACGCUCCGUGGAUAUAAGCUCAUUGAUGAAAGGUGUAUUUGGUGCAGGCCAGUCAACUAGGAGGAAAAGGCUGAAACGCGUGUUGAAGAAGCCUACCAAGCAUGAAAGAUAUUAAUUUUGGGCAUUCUCCAGGAAAGACAAAUCGGUAGCAAAUCUAUAUUAAGUCUUGUUCUUGUGCAAGAUGUUACGAUCUAAGAAUUAACUGCAUGAAUGAGGACCUGAAUCUCUCUUUGCAAAGUUUCUUUGCACUUGUCUGUCUGCACAGAAAAGAUUGCCAUUCCCAACUUUUUGUCUCGUAGUUUGGUUGCUAUGCCUCAAUCUCUCUAAAUAGCUGGUGUUACCCAUCUCUUUAAGCAGGCUGCCGUAAUCUUCAUCAAGUUUCCUGCAAAAACUAAAAGAUUGAGAUUCAAUGGUGUCGAAACUUGAGUUUUGAGUUCAAUAUGGUAAUAAGAUGCAAGCAUAAAUGGGAAGCAAAAAGUAGUCAGCUCAAUGUCUUCUCUCUUUGAUAGGCUACAUCGAGCUUCUUCAGUAGGCUGGUUAAAGACAACAUGGAGAAAAGAUUAUUUCUAUUUUUGAGGGACCAAAAGCCCUCUCUCAUUCAAUUUAGGCAGUUGUGCAUUAUGAUUGGUGCUAUACGCUUGCAUUUCUUCAAUGUGGCUGUGGCUAGUUUAAAGUUAAAGCUCAGGUGUUCAUACAUUAAUUCCUUUGCCUCGAUAAUAUUUGUUUCUUUAUUUUUCCAAAGAAUUUUGAUCUUUGUUUCUUUGUAUUGAUUAUGUUGACUUAUAAGUUAACUAAGUUGUUAACAGUGCAAGCACAUGCUUUAAAAAAUGGCAAUUUUUUUUUCCAGAAAAAUUGCCACUCACAGCUUUCGCUCUC